rnacentral:lncRNA from 1 species
CAUGUGCUUUUUUUGGUUUUGUUGCACAUGAACAAUUGUAUGAUGGGUUGAAAACUUGAGUUUCUGGAAGGCCUUCGUUUUCAGCUGCUGGCAUAUGCCAGAGAAUCUAAAUAUUAAAUCAGAUGGAAACCAGCAGCUUGAAAAUGUGCAAUCUGCUCUGUGCUGAAAUGCACAUCUGUCUGAGUGCCGCAGAUCCUUGGCUCCCACUAAGGUUGUCUGAGAUAACAAAAGAGCGUGUUUUGAAAGCUCUGAGCGUUUUUUUUUUAAUGUGCAAAGUACUGAAUUGACUGUUCUGAAACCAAGUGUCCUGUUUUUCCGUGAAAACAGAUGUAGCAGAAUGAGAACAGAACAUAGAUCAACCAGCUUUCCUUACGGUGUUGAACCACCAUGCUCCAGACCUCUUGGUAUUGACAGUGCCUUUCUGUGUGGAUGGUCAUCUCAGUUAAAGAUGGUAGAGAGAAACCCAAAUAAAACUGACUUUCUGAAUCUGCUUGUUUCCUAGGGACUUCAGGGGGAGCCAAGGAUGUGCUCAGUACCUUGAGGACUGGUCUUGAAGAGAGUGAUCAGGCAGGCUUGGUGUGCAUCGGCAAGAGAAGAGCUCGGGUACUGAUUUGUGCCAACAACAGAUACACUUAAUUGGUUGUUAAAUGGUUAAUGAAGUCAGGGUUAACAUCAUGCAAUGUCCCUAAAGCUGAUGAAGAACUACUCAUUUUCUGCCCCUGAAAGGAAGAUGAACCAUUACUAUGAACUUCAGGGUCUUUCAUACAAGCAUGAGCAAUUAACAUCAGUCGUUCAAGAUCACACCUGCUCAUGAUCAUGCAGAGAAUUCUCAUUUGCUGGAUAAAACUUCUAAUAUCACCUCCUUACGGACAAAGAUGGAGUUCACGCAGCAAAAUCGUGCUGGAGAGUAAACACAACAACACAAGCAAAGCCCCGUGGCCUUUGAGUUGCAAAGUACUGUGGUGGGUAUGUGUGGAUCUAGAUGUCAAAUUAAUUAUCUGAGGCUUAAUUAGCUGUAAUUGAAGUGACCUAUAAUUUCAUAUUACUUGACUGGCAUCUACUAACAGAUGCCCUUUUCCUGUCUACUUCUGACUUCCUUUCCCUUAAAAAGGUGCUGUUGCUAAUAAGAGAUCUAUGGAAAUGGCAGAAAAUUUACAGUUAUUUCCGCAUCUAUUUCCCUUUAUGAAGAACAUGAGCCCAUCUGACUUUGAGAACAUCCUAGCAGACGAGGUUCUGGUCCUCCUGCUUAGAGAUGCGUCUAAUUAGUGCUAAUGAACUAGCUGACCUGUGGUGAAUUCUUACUGAUGAAUAGCCUCCAGUUCUGCCUCAUGGUGACAAGCCACCCAUAUGAGUUCUGCACCUGAUUCCUCCUCCUCAUGACAAAUUUAUCUGUUCUUAACGCAGGAUAAUAACCUUUACUGACAGUAAUAUUAUUUCCCUAUGCUUGAUCAUACAGUCCUCAUAGGGCUGCUGCAAGCACACAGCUGUAUUAAAAGUACAGCUACACAGCAUGUGUGCGUGGACUGUUCUUUAAAAUAGUUCAUCUGACCAAAACAAAAUAACUUCUUGCUGCUCAGAUUUAGGAAGUGUUCAAACACAGUUAAGGAAUGGAUUUUCUUCAUCGCUUUGUCCCAUCAUUCUUCUUGCCUUCCGCUGAGCCAGUGUGCAAUGGCAGCACCUGAGUCUCAUCUGUUUAAUUUGCUGGGAGGAUAUCACCAGGGCAGUCACACCAAGAGCCUCUUCUGGGAGCUGGGCAGCAAUCUGAUGUAUUUGUUAAUAGAGUCACACUGACAGGAUCCUCUAUGAUAUAAAUGAUUGGAGAAGUAGCAGUGUUCUCAGCGAGGGCUAGCAGGUAAUCGUGCAAUAAAUUAAAAAAUAAAAAGGGGGAAAUAGUUGCC